UACGGGGGGGGGCAAGCGUUGUUCGGAAUUACUGGGCGUAAAGGGCUCGUAGGUGGCCAACUAAGUCAGACGUGAAAUCCCUCGGCUUAACCGGGGAACUGCGUCUGAUACUGGAUGGCUUGAGAUUGGGAGAGGGAUGCGGAAUUCCAGGUGUAGCGGUGAAAUGCGUAGAUAUCUGGAGGAACACCGGUGGCGAAGGCGGCAUCCUGGACCAAUAUUGACGCUGAGGAGCGAAAGCCAGGGGAGCAAACAGG
rnacentral:rRNA from 1 species